rnacentral:rRNA from 1 species
UGAGGAAUAUUGCCCAAUGGAGGAAACUCUGAGGCAGCGACGCCGCGUGGGUGAUGAAGGCCUUCGGGUCGUAAAGCCCUUUUCUGCAUGACGAGCAAGGACGGUAGUGCAGGAAUAAGUCCCGGCUAACUACGUGCCAGCAGCCGCGGUAAAACGUAGGAGGCAAGCGUUAUCCGGAGUUACUGGGCGUAAAGCGUGCGUAGGCGGAUGGGUAAGUGGGUGGUGAAAGCGCUCGGCUAAACCGGGCGAGUGCCAUUCAGACUGCUCGUCUAGAGGCGGAUAGAGGGGUGCGGAAUUCCGGGUGUAGCGGUGAAAUGUGUAGAGAUCCGGAGGAACACCAGUGGUGCAAACGGCGCCCUGGGUCCGAACUGACGCUGAUGCACGAAAGCGUGGGGAGCGAA